rnacentral:sRNA from 1 species
AAAUUGCGAUAGCGAUUGGAGCGGCAUCCUUUUUACUUUAAACGAUGAUAAUAUUUAAAGUAAAAAGAUAUAGCGUAAAGCGCGCUCGAUC